UACACAGUCUUGGAAAGAGUGAAGUCUUUAAAAAAAAUUCUUGAACAAGGAUUGCAAAAUUAAAGAGGACGUGCAUAAAAAAUUAAGAAGUUUAUCUUGGCUUUGUGGCAAUUAUGGCAUAGCUCGUCUGACUAGUGAGAUGCCAUAUCUUCAUUUGUACCUCAAAGUCAAUAAAGCAAAGACAGACGGCGUCUUGAGACUCGAAAUUGAUAAUACAUUAUUUUCCAAUGCUUCUGAGUUCAUUGAAUUACGCCAUAUCGAUCCAUCUUACGAAAUAAGAAUUCGACCGCUGUCCAACAUACCUCACUCCCAUGAUGGACAAAAACCAAAAAUCAUUAUAGUUAAUAAUAAUAAGCUUACUAAAGUAAAUGGUUUGAACCCGGGAGUAUCGUUAUAUGUUUGUAAAUGAUGAUCGUCCAGGUUAAUAAAGUCCUGAGAAGGACUGUUUUUGAUGUUGUUGACUGACGUUAAUAAGCUUACUGCAGCUAAUUUAGAGAAGCAGAGUUCUUUUGAUGACGUGUACAAGUCGCUGUUAGAAAGACAAGAAAAACAAGAAGAGAUACGAGUUUAUAAAUUUGGUGACGAGAAGGGCGACAAAGUCGGCUCAAACAUCAUUGCUGACCUCAGUCAUAGCGUUCUUGACAACAACAAAAAAGAAGAAUUUCGCGACUUGAUAGCUGUAAAGAGUGAUUACGAAUUUAAAGACUUCUCUCGCCUGGGAUAAAUAGUUUAAUGAUAAAUAAUUAAGAACAUCGUGUAUUUGUUCAGGAUUUGUUUACACUAUCUACUCAUAAGUUUUAUUGUCUCGCUUUUAAAUUUAAUGACUUUUCAUUUAAACAUUUUCUCACUCGAUACUGAAGUCAUAUAAUUAAUUAUGUAAUAUAUACUGUGAAAAAUUGUAAUUUCCGCAAAUGGAUAUGAUUACUUAAAAUAUUUAUAAUGGGACUGAAAAUAUUACUAAUUCGAAUGUAUAAUCAUGUAGUGGCAACGUAUCCCUCGCAAUACAUGGCAUUCAUCUUGUUAAAUGAAUUAAAAUUGUAUGUUCGUCA